GUGGGUAUGUCCACAGUCAAGAGCGAGUCUGUCUCGUAUUUGCAUCUCAGUUUAGAAAGCGGAUCGAGAGAGCAAUAUUCAGAUGCUGUCAGGCUUGCUGACUAUUCCAGCAACUUUUGUUUUUGCUCCUGAUACACACCAUCCAAAAUUCUUCAGGUUUUUAAAAAUUAUUUUGCAUUAUGUCUGUUCUCCAUCUGUCUUCUACCCUCCACACCGUUUCCAUUGAUGUUUACUGAGGAUUUCCUAUUAGUACCAAGGACUGUGAUUGAAUCGGGGAGGUGGUUACAUUGCAACUACAUCUGAAUCUUCUCCCAACUGAGAAAGAGCUCGAAAAUUAAUCACAGUUUCUGAGUAGGCUAUAAAUUGCACAUGAAUUGAAUGAUUUCGGCCAUCUGUUGGGAUGAGAGAACUGAAAAACACAGCCAAUGGUUUAAAUCUAAAAGACAAAUAGUGAACUUGAGUGACAAUCAGCAAAUCAGGACAUAGUCUGAUGCACCCCGCCACUAAGCCCCCAACGAAAUCGCCAGAGGAAUGGGAAGGAAAUUGCUUCAUUAAACUGGGAGACACGGACAACUGCAGGAGGUUGGAAUCACUGGGAAGGGAGCAAUGGGAAAAAAAAGAUACAUCAUUGGGUCAGAGAAAGAUGACCUACAGUGAGGUACUGAGUUACUCACCUUGAACUAUCCCACUCCUGUGCCUGGAUGGGUUAACGACCAGGAAGCUGUGAGAUGGAAGUUUGCUCUGAAAUGGGCGUGAAUUCGGGUGUGAGUGACAGGCAUGUCGGGAUAUCAACCAUGGGGUUUCGAAUUGGAGGAGUUCGAUAUAGUUCUGAGGGCCAAAGAGAUAAAAUGAUGUGGGGUCCCUGAGCUGGAUGAUCAGCCGUGAUUAAUUUGAAGAUCAGAACAGGCAAGAAAGGAUGAGUGGACGAUUCUUACUCCAAUUUUUGAAGUUUCCACCAUUACCAGAGAAAUGGAAAGGAUUGACGAGGAUAAAGUGAGAGCCAGGAAUAACAGCACAAUGUAUA